GAUUCUAACUUGUGUAUUCAAUAACAGAAGAAGUGAUGGGCCCAGUUAACUCAAAGUCCUAUGGUAAUAGCUGAUUUUGGUGAAAUUCCCUUAAAAAAACAAAACAAAAAACCCAAACGGUUUAUUGAGUGAGCUGCAAGAAGGCAGGCAGCAGGCUGGCUCAUAACUGUAAUGCCUCCUGCCUGUUUGUUCUUUGAGGGUUUUCCUGUGUAGCACAGGCUGGGCCUCCUCCUCCGCCCCAUUUCUUUUUCUGGUAUGGUCUCUAUGUAGCCUGGCUUGGAACUUACUAUGUUGACCAGGCUGUCCUUGGUCAGAGACCUGCCUGCUUCUGCCUCCCGAGUGCUGGGUUUAUUUAUUUUUUUAUUUUUUUGGUUUUUCGAGACAGGGUUUCUCUGUGUAGCCCUGGAGUGCUGGGUUUAAAGGCAUACCUAGUCCUGGUUCUGAACUCUUUUUUUUUUUCUUUUAAACAUGUAUGAGUGUUUUCCCUGCUUGUAUGUCUCCAUACAGUCUAUACACCUGGCGCCAGGGAAGGCCAGAAGAGGAUGUUGAUUCCCCUGGAACUGGAGUUACAGAUGGUUGUGAGACGCUAUGUGGAUACUGCAAAUUAAACCCAAGUCCUCCUAAAAGCAGCAGCACCUGCUCUAAACCACUGCACCAGCUCUCCAGCCCCUGGUCCUGACCUCCUGAUCACCCUGCCUUGUCACCUACUAGUUUAGCGUCAUGUCUCAGCUUUUCACAUGUAAAUUUUGACAUAUGCUGUGUCUAUGACUCUUUUACUUAUUGUUUCAUUACUUAUUGUUUGGAAACUCUUCUCCCACCUCCACCCCUACCCCCAUAGUAAAACAGCAACAAAAUCCUAAGUCACUGUUAAAUUACCACGGAAUAUUCAGGGGUUCUUUUUGUUUUUGAGAUAGAGUCUGUAUUCUAUUACAUAAACUAGCUGACCUCAAACUCUGGGAGAUCUGCCUGCCUCUGCCUCCUGAGUGCUGGGAGUAGAGGUUAUGCACCACCAGGUCCUGUCUCAGGAAUUGUCUUCAGUUUAUUUGUUAAGUGAUAGUAGUGAACAGAGUUGGUGUCUUGUGGAUGACAUGGCCUUAGCUCUUCAGAGGUUAAUAAUGGACACUGAUUUCUCCUUUAUCGGCCUGUUUUGUUGUCUUGAGACAAGAGUCUCACUUUGUAGCCGGCCAUCCUGGAACUCUCUGGAGACCAGUUUGGCCUCAAAUUCACUUUUUAUGUUUUGAGUCCAGGUGUUUUCUUUCUCUGACUUUGUGAGGCAUUGGCUCUGUAAAUCACCUCCUGCGGAGGUGGUGUCCCAGUGACUGAGCCAGCUGUUGGGUGUUGGAGCUGAACAGCUUGCUCCUCUGGGCUGCUCAAACCCUAGUGAGAAGUAUUGGCUGUGAUGGAGGCGGGGCCUCGGCAGCCUGCUUUAACCCGCAGUGCUGCUGCUUUUGCUUUCUGCUGGUGUCUGCAAAGUUCAUUGGUGGCUUUGUUGGUUUAUUUUGAGUCAGGGCCUCACUUUUAACCCUGGCUGACCUGGAACUCUAAGACAUCUGCCUGCCUCUGCCUUGCUCUUCCACAUGCUGGUGGUGUUAAAGCUAUAUUCCACCCUGUCCAGCAGUUCUGAAUUUUCACUAAUGACUCGUUUCCCUAUUAGGUUUUCUUUUAUUUUUAAGUUAUUUAUUUUGCCUGGAUGUAUGUAUGUGUAGUAUACGCGUAUCUGGUGCUUGCAGAGGCCCAAAGUUGGUAUCAGAUCCCCUGGAACUAGAGUUAACAAAGAGCUGUGAGCCUCUGAGUGGAUGCUGGGAACAGAUCCCAGGUCCCCUGAAAGAGCAGUGCUCUUAACUGCUGAGACAUCUGUCCAGCCCCUAUCAGGUUUUCAUAGAGCCUGAUGAUUUAAAAACAUUGAGGUCACUGUUAAUUUCUCUUGUCACUUGUUUUGGGAGGAGAGAAGAGGGUAUUCACAGUCAAGCCUGUUUCCAUCUCAUUCUGAGUGACUUCCAUAGGACACAGAAAACUUGUUUCUUCCUGAAAGUGACAUGUUAGUGACUCAUUGUUUUUUGUGGAAGGAAGUUUAUGACCAGAUCUUUUCUUUUUCUCUUCCAGAGAGAAUUUGGGAAAGCAACAAACAAAGUACAGAAUCUGAAAGAAGGUUUUGGGUAACAGGAGUUCUGGUGAACAGGUAAGUGUUGGAACUUACCCGGUGGUGGUGAUUUACCAUAGGCUGCAGUGCAGCGGGAGAGAGAGAAGUUGGAAACCUGCAUGUGCUUUGUGUCAGAUGUUUCAGUAGGGUUUAACCUGUGACCUGGAUUCUAGGCAUAGGUCUAAGAAUCUUGGAAUAAAAUUAUCCUUUAAAUGCUGUUGUUAAAGGUGGGUAUGGUAGCAAACACAUAUAAUUUCAGCAUUUCAAGGCCAAGGUCGGAAGACUUGAGUUCCAAGGUCAGUCUAGGCAACAAUUGAUCCACUGUCUGAAAAACAAAAUACAAAACCGAGCAAGGCAUUUGCACACCUUUAGUCCCAGCACGCUGGAGGCAGAGCUCUGAGUUCCGGGCUAGCCUGCUGUACAUAGCAAGUCUCAGGAAAGACACAAGUACACAGUGAGACCUUCUUUCUAAAAACAAACAGGGCUGGAGAGAUGGCUCAGUGGUUAAGAGCACUGACUGCUCUUCCAGAGGUCCUGAGUUCAAAUCCCAGCAACCACAUGGUGGCUCACAACUAUCCAUAAUGAGAUCUGACACCCUCUUCUGGUGUGUCUGAAGACAGCUACAGUGUACUUAGAUAUAAUAAUAAAUAGAUUUUUUUUUUUCGAGGCAGAGUUUCUCUGUGUAGCCCUGGCUGUCCUGGAACUCACUUUGUAGACCAGGCUGGCCUCGAACUCAGAAAUCUGCCUGCCUCUGCCUCCCGAGUGCUGGGACUAAAGGCGUGCGCCACCACACCCGGCAAUAAAUAGAUCGUAAAAAAACAAACAAACAAACAAACAAAAAACUGUUUUUAGUGAGUCUGCCUACUGGUUGGGUUUGUUGCUUUCAUAGAUCAGUUUAGCAAAUGUCGACACAGGGCUUCCCUGUGUAAAGUAUUUGUUGUAAGAAAAUCGAUUGUGGACUUAAGCAAAACCAGGGCCUGUUCUGCUCUGUGGUCUAGCAGGGGAGGGGUCACCCAUGGUUCCUUUCUCUUCAGUGCUUCCGUUCAUGAAUUACUUUC
rnacentral:lncRNA from 1 species